rnacentral:lncRNA from 1 species
UGAGUAGGGAAAAAAUUUAAAAAAGUCUACGAUUGAAUUUUUAAUCUAGCAUGUUAAUCUUAGUAUGAAUCAAGUGUGCCCACUGCCCGUCAUUCGUAUUCCCUUAGCAAACAAUUACAAAGAAAACAAAAUCAUUAAUCACACAUAUAAUGAUCAAAACUCACAUUUAAUUCAUGCACAAUCAUGAUCUAAACACAAAACCAUGUAUAAAAUAAAGAUCUAGAGCUUAAAAGAAAGAGAAAGCGGCCUCUAAGGAGAUGUGGCUAUUUCAAAACUUGAUGAUGCACAGGGCCACGAUCGGAUCCUCGAACUGCACCUCGGACGGACAAGACUCACUUACUCCAAAUUCCAAAACAAAUGAGAAUGUGAUUAGAAGAAGAAAAUAGCGCAACAGUGACAUAAAAUGAGAUGUCGCCACGUUCGAGGUGAAGGAAUCGCCAGCUAGUGGUCACUGUCGACGUCCGAUGGAAUUGCGAUAGAAAGGGCGGCUGGUGAGCAGCUGAUGGUUGUGGGAGAGUGGUUGACUGGCGUGUAAUAGUGAUGGUGUGAGAUGGUUGGUGUUGUUGAUAUUUCUCCGGCGAGUCUUCUGAGAUGGGUCUACUUGGCGUGAAGUUCAGGUGCUAUUGUUUUGUUGGAGAAAAAGAGGGGUCGCUGGGUCGUUCAGCUGGUGUUUGAAGAAGAAGACCAAGUGGGGUGGAGGGAUGUGAAGGAAACGGGUUUUAGGGGUAGGGGUCUUCAAGGUUUGGUGUUGUAUGUGUGUUUUGUGCUGCUGGUGUGAGGUCGUUCUAGGUUGAAGAAAGAGAAGAUGCGGGGUGUUGUUCGGUUCUCCGAAGAUGAGGAGGGUGAAGCUUAGCGGAAGCGCUGGUUUUUCCGGCGAGCUUUGGGCGUGGAGGAGGCAGCUGCUUAGGUGGUUUUGUGGUUGUGGAGACUGGGUUCUAGGGUUUUUCUUUUCUAUUCUCCAUUGUUGUCCUGUGCAGGUUAAGGUUGAGGAAGAAGAAGAGAGCUAGGGUUUUACAUGUCUAUUCUCCAUUGUAAUAUU